UAUUUAUUAGAUAAAAAACCAACGCCCUUCGGGGCUCCUUGGKGAAUCAUAAUAACUUAACGAAUCGCACGGCCUUGCGCCGGCGAUGGUUCAUUCAAAUUUCUGCCCUAUCAACUUUCGAUGGUAGGAUGGUGGCCUACCAUGGUGGCAACGGGUAACGGGGAAUUAGGGUUCGAUUCCGGAGAGGGAGCCUGAGAAACGGCUACCACAUCCAAGGAAGGCAGCAGGCGCGCAAAUUACCCAAUCCCGAUACGGGGAGGUAGUGACAAUAAAUACUGAUACGGGGCUCUUUUGGGUCUCGUAAUUGGAAUGAGAACAAUUUAAAUCCCUUAACGAGGAACAAUUGGAGGGCAAGUCUGGUGCCAGCAGCCGCGGUAAUUCCAGCUCCAAUAGCGUAUAUUAAAGUUGUUGCAGUUAAAAAGCUCGUAGUUGAACCUUGGGUCUGGCUGGCCGGUCCGCCUCACCGCGAGUACUGGUCCGGCUGGACCUUUCCUUCUGGGGAACCUCAUGGCCAUCACUGGCUGUGGGGGGAACCAGGACCUUUACUGUGAAAAAAUUAGAGUGUUCAAAGCAGGC
rnacentral:rRNA from 1 species